rnacentral:rRNA from 1 species
CCUAAGGGGUGCAGCAGUGGGGAAUAUUGGACAAUGGGCGAAAGCCUGAUCCAGCCAUGCCGCGUGUGUGAAGAAGGCCUUCGGGUUGUAAAGCACUUUCAGUGGGGAAGAAAGCCUUGGGGCUAAUACCCUCGAGGAAGGACAUCACCCACAGAAGAAGCACCGGCUAACUCCGUGCCAGCAGCCGCGGUAAUACGGAGGGUGCGAGCGUUAAUCGGAAUUACUGGGCGUAAAGCGCGCGUAGGCGGUCUGAUAAGCCGGUUGUGAAAGCCCCGGGCUCAACCUGGGAACGGCAUCCGGAACUGUCAGGCUAGAGUGCAGGAGAGGAAGGUAGAAUUCCCGGUGUAGCGGUGAAAUGCGUAGAGAUCGGGAGGAAUACCAGUGGCGAAGGCGGCCUUCUGGACUGACACUGACGCUGAGGUGCGAAAGCGUGGGUAGCAAACAGGAUUAGAUACCCGGGUAGUC